AGUGAACGCUGGCGGUAGGCCUAACACAUGCAAGUCGAACGGCAGCACAGUAAGAGCUUGCUCUUACGGGUGGCGAGUGGCGGACGGGUGAGGAAUACAUCGGAAUCUACUUUUUCGUGGGGGAUAACGUAGGGAAACUUACGCUAAUACCGCAUACGCCCUACGGGUGAAAGCAGGGGAUCUUCGGACCUUGCGCGAUUGAAUGCGCCGAUGUCGGAUUAGCUAGUUGGCGGGGUAAAGGCCCACCAAGGCGACGAUCCGUAGCUGGUCUGAGAGGAUGAUCAGCCACACUGGAACUGAGACACGGUCCAGACUCCUACGGGAGGCAGCAGUGGGGAAUAUUGGACAAUGGGCGCAAGCCUGAUCCAGCCAUACCGCGUGGGUGAAGAAGGCCUUCGGGUUGUAAAGCCCUUUUGUUGGGAAAGAAAAGCAGCAGGUUAAUACCCCGCUGUUCUGACGGUACCCAAAGAAUAAGCACCGGCUAACUUCGUG
rnacentral:rRNA from 1 species